AACACAUUCACCAGAGGUACAAAGAUUACAACCCUUAAUUCAGCUUGCUAGCAGCCAUGCAGGAAUAGGCAGAGCGGUGUCACUUGAGGAAUCCUGAGCUCCUGCUGGAGAGACAGAUCUGGAUGAAUGCAUUUCUGCAAUCACUGCUCUUCCUGUUUCUCUUUCAUCUCAUUUAAAAUUGCAGAAGAGCCAAGUAUGGUUUGUUGCAGCCUUUGGCCACACGAUGGCACACAUCAGUCAAAAGAACAUUACAAUAUGAUCCGAGGAUGGAGAAGAAUUAAGGCUCUUGUUCAGGCCUGUGGUGGUCAGGACAUAUCCCUCCUGGCUGCUGUUUUGAUGCACAACUGACCCCGAUCACAGUGAGAGACAGGGAUGGUGUUUCUUCCAUAAGCUCAAAAAAUAAAAACAGAAAAAAGUUUUGAAGAACAAAAGGAUCUGAAGCAGGAGCAAAAAGCAUCUCUGGCAGAGAAAUUUGGCCAUUAGAAAGGACUAGACACCUCGCGGAGGACGACUGAGAGAGAGAGAGACUGACCCAUCUCAGAGCGAGGUAUUCUGUUUUCCGGACUGCCUGUAGGAGAAAGGACUCCGUGGCUGGCUGUGACACCGUCGGCUGCUGGCUGCUGCGGGCGCACGGGGCUGCGAGCAGCUGUUGAACUGCCCUGCCUUCCCCCCUCCCCCACGCUCCGGUUUGCGGUUUUCUUCCCCCCCACCCGGGGAAUUGGGACUUUGUUUUGUUUCUCCUGAAAGUUUUUGAUUGCACCAUUUCUUGUUUGUUCAGAUGUUGUUAAUAAAAAGCUGUUUUUUUCCUUUUUCACACUUCCA